UACGUAGGUGGCAAGCGUUGUCCGGAAUUAUUGGGCGUAAAGCGCGCGCAGGCGGUCCUUUAAGUCUGAUGUGAAAUCUCGCGGCUCAACCGCGAGCGGUCAUUGGAAACUGGGGGACUUGAGUGCAGAAGAGGAAAGCGGAAUUCCACGUGUAGCGGUGAAAUGCGUAGAGAUGUGGAGGAACACCGGUGGCGAAGGCGGCAUCCUGGACCAACACUGACACUGAGGAGCGAAAGCCAGGGGAGCAAACGGG
rnacentral:rRNA from 1 species